rnacentral:rRNA from 1 species
AGUCGAACGGUGACCUCGAGAGCUUGCUCUUGGGUGAUCAGUGGCGAACGGGUGAGUAACACGUGAGUAACCUGCCCCAGACUCUGGAAUAACCCCGGGAAACCGGAGCUAAUACCGGAUACNAGACGGAGCCGCAUGGCUACCGUUUGGAAAGUUUUUCGGUCUGGGAUGGACUCGCGGCCUAUCAGCUAGUUGGUGAGGUAACGGCUCACCAAGGCGACGACGGGUAGCCGGCCUGAGAGGGCGACCGGCCACACUGGGACUGAGACACGGCCCAGACUCCUACGGGAGGCAGCAGUGGGGAAUAUUGCACAAUGGGCGAAAGCCUGAUGCAGCGACGCCGCGUGAGGGAUGAAGGCCUUCGGGUUGUAAACCUCUUUCAGCAGGGAAGAAGCGGAAGUGACGGUACCUGCAGAAGAAGCACCGGCUAACUACGUGCCAGCAGCCGCGGUAAUACGUAGGGUGCGAGCGUUGUCCGGAAUUAUUGGGCGUAAAGAGCUUGUAGGCGGUUUGUCGCGUCUGCCGUGAAAAUCCGAGGCUCAACCUCGGACUUGCGGUGGGUACGGGCAGACUAGAGUGUGGUAGGGGAGACUGGAAUUCCUGGUGUAGCGGUGAAAUGCGCAGAUAUCAGGAGGAACACCGAUGGCGAAGGCAGGUCUCUGGGCCACUACUGACGCUGAGAAGCGAAAGCGUGGGGAGCGAACAGGAUUAGAUACCCUGGUAGUCCACGCCGUAAACGUUGGGAACUAGGUGUGGGUCUCAUUCCACGAGAUCUGUGCCGCAGCUAACGCAUUAAGUUCCCC